rnacentral:rRNA from 1 species
UCGGGGCCUAAGGCCAGGUCGAAAGACGUAACCGAUGGACAACAGGUUGAAAUUCCUGUACCUUAAGUAAACAGAACUGUGGGGACACGUGUGGAGAGCACAAGCCGGAAAUGGAAAAGCCGGUGCAAGCGAGGUAGGAGUACAGUAGGCAAAUCCGCUGUACAAUCCGAAGACGUGAUGCGGACCGAAUUAAGAGUAGGGAAGUGUGUGAGCCAUGCGUCAAGAAAAGCCGCUAUUGUUUUACUUAAGCCCGUACCGUAAACCGACACAGGUGGAUGAGGAGAGAAUCCUAAGGCCGACGGGAGAAGCAUUGUUAAGGAACUCGGCAAAAUGACUCCGUAACUUCGGGAGAAGGAGUGCCAGCGAGAGCUGGCCGCAGAGAAUUGGCCCAAGCAACUGUUUAGCAAACACAGGUCUAUGCAAAACCGUAAGGUGAAGUAUAUGGGCUGACGCCUGCCCAGUGCUGGAAGGUUAAGAGGAGAGGUUAGCGGCAACGCGAAGCUUUGAAUUUAAGCCCCAGUAAACGGCGGCCGUAACCAUAACGGUCCUAAGGUAGCGAAAUUCCUUGUCGGGUAAGUUCCGACCCGCACGAAAGGCGUAAUGAUUUGGGCACUGUCUCAACAAUGCACCCGGUGAAAUUGAAAUACCAGUGAAGAUGCUGGUUACCUGCGCCAGGACGGAAAGACCCCAUGGAGCUUUACUCCAGCUUGAUACUGGGAUUCGGUAUUGCAUGUACAGGAUAGGUGGGAGGCUAGGAAGUGAUAACGCCAGUUGUCACGGAGCCGCUGUUGGGAUACCACCCUUGCAGUAUUGGAUUUCUAACCAGCGACCAUGAGCUGGUCGGGGGACAAUGUUAGGUGGGGAGUUUGACUGGGGCGGUCGCCUCCGAAAGGGUAUCGGAGGCGCUCAAAGGUUCCCUCAGAAUGGACGGAAACCAUUCGAAGAGUGCAAAGGCAGAAGGGAGCUUGACUGCGACACCGACGGGUGGAGCAGGUACGAAAGUAGGACUUAGUGAUCCGGUGGUAUAAAGUGGGAUUGCCAUCGCUCAACGGAUAAAAGCUACCCUGGGAUAACAGGCUUAUCACUCCCAAGAGUUCACAUCGACGGAGUGGUUUGGCACCUCGAUGUCGGCUCAUCGCAUCCUGGGGCUGAAGUAGGUCCCAAGGGUUGGGCUGUUCGCCCAUUAAAGCGGUACGCGAGCUGGGUUCAGAACGUCGUGAGACAGUUCGGUCCCUAUCCGGCGUGGGCGUAGGAUAUUUGAGAGGAGCUGUCCUUAGUACGAGAGGACCGGGAUGGACUGGCCGCUGGUGUAUCUGUUGCAUACCAAAUGCAUGGCAGAGUAGCCAAGCAGGGACGGGAUAAACGCUGAAGGCAUCUAAGCGUGAAGCCCCCCUCAAGAUGAGAUAUCCCUACGUAAGUAGUAAGACCCCUUGAAGACGACGAGGUAGAUAGGUCAGAGGUGGAAGUACAGUAAUGUAUGGAGCUGACUGAUACUAAUCGGUCGAGGGCAUGACC